rnacentral:rRNA from 1 species
AGUCGAACGAGAGGACAAGAGAAGCUUGCUUCUUUUGGAAUCGAGUGGCAAACGGGUGAGUAACACGUAAACAACCUGCCUUCAGGAUGGGGACAACAGACGGAAACGACUGCUAAUACCGAAUACGCUUGGAAGACCGCAUGAUCUUCCAAGGAAAGGGUGGCCUCUACCUGUAAGCUAUCGCCUGAAGAGGGGUUUGCGUCUGAUUAGGCAGUUGGUGAGGUAACGGCCCACCAAACCUACGAUCAGUAGCCGGUCUGAGAGGAUGAACGGCCACACUGGAACUGAGACACGGUCCAGACUCCUACGGGAGGCAGCAGUGGGGAAUCUUCCGCAAUGGGCGAAAGCCUGACGGAGCAACGCCGCGUGAGUGAUGACGGCCUUCGGGUUGUAAAGCUCUGUGAUCGGGGACGAACGGUCCGUAAGCUAAUACCUUAUGGAAGUGGCGGUACCCGAAUAGCAAGCCACGGCUAACUACGUGCCAGCAGCCGCGGUAAUACGUAGGUGGCAAGCGUUGUCCGGAAUUAUUGGGCGUAAAGCGCGCGCAGGCGGCUUUCUAAGUCCAUCUUAAAAGUGCGGGGCUUAACCCCGUGAUGGGAUGGAAACUGGAAAGCUGGAGUAUCGGAGAGGAAAGUGGAAUUCCUAGUGUAGCGGUGAAAUGCGUAGAGAUUAGGAAGAACACCGGUGG